GGAGGUAUGGCUCAAGUGGUAGAGCACCUGCCUAGCAAGCACAAGGUUCUGAGUUCAAACUCAUGUACCACCA
rnacentral:tRNA from 1 species